GACCUAAUCUCACAUAUCUUGGGCCCAGACCUGGCCCAUAAAGAGUUGGUUCCUUGAAGCCCACAUAACCUAGACCUCAAGAAUCCGAAAGGCCCACAGCCUUUCAACCUAGGGCCCAACUAGCCCUAGAGCCUCCAUGAAGCCCUCAUGAAUGAUGGACCUUGGCCUUAGCCUUGGUCCCCUGGGCCUUGGGCACACCAUCUGGAUCACAACAAU
rnacentral:lncRNA from 1 species